GUGUGUGUCAUCUGCAUUGAAUUUUGGCAACAUAAAAUUCAUUUCUGUCUCAGACCAACUACAAUUUCUGUUAAUUUCUAAAUGGACGACGGCUGCUCAUGUGGUGGUGGAACUUUUCACUCUUGUAACCAGACGGGUACGCUUUCGAUAAAUAUGUGUCAACUCAUAUGGAACAUAUUAACGUGUAUUGCGUUCAUGCUGAUUAUAUUUGCAAUUAUACUGCUCAUUCUGUGGGCGGCUGGAGUAGUUAAGGUUGAAAAGGUGAACAAAACCGAUUCUAAUUAUUAGCAUGUAAUGUUUAUGUAAAGCGUAUAGUUAUUUUUAUUCUGUUAAUUAAAUAAAGGAGAAUACCUAU